GACGAACGCUGGCGGCGUGCCUAAUACAUGCAAGUAGAACGCUGAAGGAGGAGCUUGCUUCUCUGGAUGAGUUGCGAACGGGUGAGUAACGCGUAGGUAACCUGCCUGGUAGCGGGGGAUAACUAUUGGAAACGAUAGCUAAUACCGCAUAAGAGUGGAUGUUGCAUGACAUUUGCUUAAAAGGUGCACUUGCAUCACUACCAGAUGGACCUGCGUUGUACUAGCUAGUUGGUGGGGUAAGGGCUCACCAAGGCGACGAUACAUAGCCGACCUGAGAGGGUGAUCGGCCACACUGGGACUGAGACACGGCCCAGACUCCUACGGGAGGCAGCAGUAGGGAAUCUUCGGCAAUGGACGGAAGUCUGACCGAGCAACGCCGCGUGAGUGAAGAAGGUUUUCGGAUCGUAAAGCUCUGUUGUAAGAGAAGAACGAGUGUGAGAGUGGAAAGUUCACACUGUGACGGUAUCUUACCAGAAAGGGACGGCCAACUACGUGCCAGCAGCCGCGGUAAUACGUAGGUCCCGAGCGCUGUCCGGAUUUAUUGGGCGUAAAGCGAGCGCAGGCGGUUAGAUAAAUCUGACGUUAAAGGCUGUGGCUUAACCAUAGUACGCUUUGGAAACUGUUUAACUUGAGUGCAAGAGGGGAGAGCGGAAUUCCAUGUGGAGCGCUGAAAAUGCUUA
rnacentral:rRNA from 1 species